AGAGCGCGCAUAUAAACAAGUAAGAAAGAAAGCGCACAAAAAUUAGCCCAAAAUCCCCCCGGAAUUCUACAGCACCAUUUGGGUCCGGGUAAAAACAUUAAUGCCAAGACAGCUAUAAAAUUGGAAAAAAAAUUGGGCCCACUUUUAUAAGCAAAACAGAGUAAAGUGUAGAAAUUGCUUCAACAUUUUGAAUAAAUUGCAUACAUUUGGGACUUAAGUUGUAUAAUAAAUAAUUGCUACUAUCAGGUAACAAGGAGAUAAAAACUUUUUUUUUACAUCCAUUUGAUGAAUUGAGGGAAAAAAUUUUAACCGUUUGUUACUGCACCAAAGCACUGCAAAUUUUUUCUGCAAAAAUUUAAUCAUAUUAACGAAAAAGAAAAAAAUAAUAAUUAUUAUUAAUAGUUAUUAUUUGGAAAACUUCUUCACUUUUAUAAUUCGCAUCCGAAGGAAGAAUUCUUGUUAUUCUCAGUGGUUAAUAUACUACGUUGGAUUUAUAAACUCUUCUCGCAUUCUUAACAACACUUAGAAGGUAACCAACACGUGAUCGAACAACUGACUCGGAAUGUCGUCUUCUCGUUUCGCUUUUUACGACGGGUGUGAUGAAGAGAUAGUGAAGAUAGUGUCUAAAUGUAAAGAACAUGACAUUGAGUUUCUGAGGAUGACAUACUGCGACACAAAUGGAAUCGGCAGAUGCAAAUUGGUCAGUGUUCCGUGUGUAGAGAGUGUGUUGCGAGGGGGAGGGGUGGGAAUGUGUUGUGUGGUGCCCCUGUUUGACGCAUCCUCCCAAGUGGCUACCCUGGAUGAACUAGAAGACUCUGGCUACCCUGAUUGCUAUGUGUUU